rfam:Saccharomyces kudriavzevii IFO 1802 unplaced genomic scaffold c1684, whole genome shotgun sequence.
AACCAUAGUCUCGUGCUAGUUCGGUACUAUACAGGGAAGGGAAGUCACGCGCAUACGUGUGUGUGCACUUCUUGCUAUUGCUGCUUAGCUUCUCUAAAAACACUGGGCUAGCGUUUUUCAGCGCUCGAGAGGCAGAGUCUCAAGGAGCCCUCAAUGGGCCUCACGUAUUUCACGUCUAGAUGGCGCUUCGGACAUCGGCAUUAUAUGAGGGAUUCGGCUCCCAACUUCUCCUCUGGUCUUCGUGACCGGGGUUUUUGAGUCGUUGGGUCAUGGGUUGUUUCUCUCAGUCGUUGCAUCGGGCGUCGUUGCCUUAACGAUGUGUGCGAGAGGUUCGGGGGCUGUUGCCAUGAUUUAUAUGGAUGAGACAGAAGUGGCCCCGUUGACGAGUUUAACUUAGAUCAAGUAGGAUGCAUGAUCUUGAGCUCUUUUCCUAUACUUUGUCCCAUGCCCGGCUUUCUCCUUAUUACGAAGAGAUAGCAGGAUGUGGGUGCAAAGUGGGAAAAUCUGAGUUCGGUCAUCUUUGUUGUUCAUCCUACCGCAGUAUAUUCCUAAACACUAUGAAAUGGCCCUAGUUUGGUCGAUGAUCAUUUGGGUAAAACCAUACUGCAGACAUCU